UCCCGUUGAUCCUGCGGGAGAUCGCUGCUAUUAGGAUUCCACUUAGACAUGCAAGUCAGGGGGCCCCUUCGGGGGCACCGGCAAAAGGCUCAGUAACACGUCGAUAAUCUGCCUUAUGGUUGGGGACAGCUUCGGGAAACUGAGGGUAAAACCCAAUAUGAGAAAAAUACUGGAAUGUUUUUUCUCUGAAACUUCGGGCCAUAAGAUGAGUCGGCGGCUGAUUAGGUUGUUGGUGAGGUAAUGGCUCACCAAGCCAAAGAUCAGUAGGGGAGAUGAGAGUCUUAGCCUCGAGAAGGGCACUGAGAUAAGGGCCCUAGCCUUACGGGGUGCAGCAGUUAGGAAACCUUUACAAUGCACGAAAGUGUGAUAAGGGAAUCCUAAGUGCCUACUUUCGGGUAGGCUUUUGUUAAGUGUAAAAAACUUGACGAAUAAGCGGUGGGCAAGACCGGUGCCAGCCGCCGCGGUAACACCGGCGCCGCAAGUGGCUAUCAGUUUUAUUGGGUCUAAAGCAUCUGUAGCCUAUUUGACAAAUCCCUUGUGAAAUUGAUAAGCUUAACUUAUCAGCGGGCGAGGGACACUAUCAAGUUAGAGACCGGGAGGAGGCAGAAGUACGCUUUGGGGAGCGGUAAAAUGCAAUAAUCCUUAGCGGACUACCUGUGGCGAAGGCGUCUGCCUAGAACGGGUCUGACGGUGAGAGAUGAAAGCCAGGGGCGCAAAUCGGAUUAGAUACCCGAGUAGUCCUGGCUGUAAACGCUGCGAGCUAUGUGUUGCAUGUUCUUUGAGGACAUGCAGUGCCGUAGUGAAGACGUUAAGCUCGCCACCUGGGAAGUACGGUCGCAAGGCUGAAACUUAAAGGAUUGGCGGGGGCGCGCUACCAGGGGUGGAGCGUGCGGUUUAAUCUAACUACGCACAGAGAACCUCACCAGAGGCGACGGCAGGAUGAAGGUCAGAAUGAAGAUCUUACCUAACAAGCCGAGAGAUGGUGCAUGGCCGCCGUCAGUUCGUGCCGUGAGGUGUUCGGUUAAGUCCGACAACGAACAAGACCUAUGCUUACAGUUGCUAGCGACUAAUCUUAGGAUCGUGCACACUGUAAGGACUGCCCGCGUAAGUGGGAGGAAGGUGUAGGCAACGGUCGGUCUGUAUGCCUCGAAUCUUCUGGGCUACACGCGCGCAACAAUGGUAUGGACAAUGGGCUGCAACUCUGAAAAGAGAAGCCAAUCCUCGAAACCAUAUCUUAGUCCGGAUUGAGGGUUGCAACUCACCCUCAUGACGCUGGAAUCCCUAGUAAUCGGGUAUUAUCAAUGCCCGGUGAAUAAGUCAACGUGCCUUGCACACACCGCCCGUCAUCCCAACCGAGCAGAGCUUGGGUGAGGUUUAUUCUUUUGGAUAAUCCAAAUCUGAGUUCAGUGAGGAGGGGCAAGUCGUCACAAGGUA
rnacentral:rRNA from 1 species